rnacentral:tRNA from 1 species
CGAUAGCCCAACGGAUUAGAGCAUCUGACUACGGAUCAGAAGGUUGCAGGUUCGAAUCCUGUUCGGC